UACGGAGGGAGCUAGCGUUGUUCGGAAUUACUGGGCGUAAAGCGCGCGUAGGCGGCUUUGUAAGUUAGAGGUGAAAGCCCGGGGCUCAACCCCGGAAUUGCCUUUAAGACUGCAUCGCUUGAAUCCGGGAGAGGUGAGUGAAAUUCCGAGUGUAGAGGUGAAAUUCGUAGAUAUUCGGAAGAACACCAGUGGCGAAGGCGGCUCACUGGACCGGCAUUGACGCUGAGGUGCGAAAGCGUGGGGAGCAAACAGG
rnacentral:rRNA from 1 species